rnacentral:snRNA from 1 species
GGGCUCGCUUUGGCAGCACAUAUACUAAAAUUGGAACAAUGUAGAGAAGAUUAGCAUGGCCCCUGCGCAAGGAUAACAUGCAAAUUGGAGAAGCAUUCCAUAUUUUU